rnacentral:rRNA from 1 species
UACGUAGGGCGCAAGCGUUAUCCGGAAUUAUUGGGCGUAAAGAGCUCGUAGGCGGUUUGUCGCGUCUGCCGUGAAAGUCCGGGGCUCAACUCCGGAUCUGCGGUGGGUACGGGCAGACUAGAGUGUAGUAGGGGAGACUGGAAUUCCUGGUGUAGCGGUGAAAUGCGCAGAUAUCAAGUGGAACACCAGUGGCGAAGGCGAGUCUCUGGACAUUUCCUGACGCUGAGGCACGAAAGCCAGGGGAGCAAACGGG